rnacentral:rRNA from 1 species
CGGUUAAGUUAGAAAGGGCGCACGGUGGAUGCCUUGGCACUAGGAGCCGAUGAAGGACGGGACGAACACCGAUAUGCUUCGGGGAGCUGUAAGCAAGCUUUGAUCCGGAGAUUUCCGAAUGGGGAAACCCACCACUCGUAAUGGAGUGGUAUCCAUAUCUGAAUACAUAGGAUAUGAGAAGGCAGACCCGGGGAACUGAAACAUCUAAGUACCCGGAGGAAGAGAAAGCAAAUGCGAUUCCCUGAGUAGCGGCGAGCGAAACGGGAUCAGCCCAAACCAAGAGGCUUGCCUCUUGGGGUUGUAGGACACUCUGUACGGAGUUACAAAGGAACGAGGUAGAUGAAGAGGUCUGGAAAGGCCCGCCAUAGGAGGUAACAGCCCUGUAGUCAAAACUUCGUUCUCUCCUGAGUGGAUCCUGAGUACGGCGGAACACGUGAAAUUCCGUCGGAAUCCGGGAGGACCAUCUCCCAAGGCUAAAUACUCCCUAGUGACCGAUAGUGAACCAGUACCGUGAGGGAAAGGUGAAAAGCACCCCGGAAGGGGAGUGAAAGAGAUCCUGAAACCGUGUGCCUACAAGUAGUCAGAGCCCGUUAACGGGUGAUGGCGUGCCUUUUGUAGAAUGAACCGGCGAGUUACGAUCCCGUGCAAGGUUAAGCAGAAGAUGCGGAGCCGCAGCGAAAGCGAGUCUGAAUAGGGCGAAUUGAGUACGUGGUCGUAGACCCGAAACCAGGUGAUCUACCCAUGUCCAGGGUGAAGUUCAGGUAACACUGAAUGGAGGCCCGAACCCACGCACGUUGAAAAGUGCGGGGAUGAGGUGUGGGUAGGGGUGAAAUGCCAAUCGAACCUGGAGAUAGCUGGUUCUCUCCGAAAUAGCUUUAGGGCUAGCCUCAAGGUAAGAGUCUCGGAGGUAGAGCACUGAUUGGACUAGGGGCCCCUACCGGGUUACCGAAUUCAGUCAAACUCCGAAUGCCGAUGACUUAUCCUUGGGAGUCAGACUGCGAGUGAUAAGAUCCGUAGUCGAAAGGGAAACAGCCCAGACCGCCAGCUAAGGUCCCAAAGUAUACGUUAAGUGGAAAAGGAUGUGGAGUUGCUUAGACAACCAGGAUGUUGGCUUAGAAGCAGCCACCAUUUAAAGAGUGCGUAAUAGCUCACUGGUCGAGUGACUCUGCGCCGAAAAUGUACCGGGGCUAAACGUAUCACCGAAGCUGCGGACUGUUCUUCGAACAGUGGUAGGAGAGCGUUCUAAGGGCUGUGAAGCAAGACCGGAAGGACUUGUGGAGCGCUUAGAAGUGAGAAUGCCGGUAUGAGUAGCGAAAGAGGGGUGAGAAUCCCCUCCACCGAAUGCCUAAGGUUUCCUGAGGAAGGCUCGUCCGCUCAGGGUUAGUCGGGACCUAAGCCGAGGCCGAAAGGCGUAGGCGAUGGAUAACAGGUUGAUAUUCCUGUACCACCUCCUCACCAUUUGAGCAAUGGGGGACGCAGGAGGAUAGGGUAAGCGCGGUAUUGGAUAUCCGCGUCCAAGCAGUUAGGCUGGGAAAUAGGCAAAUCCGUUUCCCGUGAAGGCUGAGCUGUGAUGGCGAGCGAAUUAUAGUAGCGAAGUUCCUGAUUCCACACUGCCAAGAAAAGCCUCUAGCGAGGUGAGAGGUGCCCGUACCGCAAACCGACACAGGUAGGCGAGGAGAGAAUCCUAAGGUGAUCGAGAGAACUCUCGUUAAGGAACUCGGCAAAAUGACCCCGUAACUUCGGGAGAAGGGGUGCUCUGUUAGGGUGCAAGCCCGAGAGAGCCGCAGUGAAUAGGCCCAGGCGACUGUUUAGCAAAAACACAGGUCUCUGCGAAGCCGUAAGGCGAAGUAUAGGGGCUGACGCCUGCCCGGUGCUGGAAGGUUAAGAGGAGCGCUUAGCGUAAGCGAAGGUGCGAAUUGAAGCCCCAGUAAACGGCGGCCGUAACUAUAACGGUCCUAAGGUAGCGAAAUUCCUUGUCGGGUAAGUUCCGACCCGCACGAAAGGCGCAACGAUCUGGGCACUGUCUCAACGAGAGACUCGGUGAAAUUAUAGUACCUGUGAAGAUGCAGGUUACCCGCGACAGGACGGAAAGACCCCGUGGAGCUUUACUGCAGCCUGAUAUUGAAUGUUGGUACAGCUUGUACAGGAUAGGUAGGAGCCUUGGAAACCGGAGCGCCAGCUUCGGUGGAGGCAUCGGUGGGAUACUACCCUGGCUGUAUUGACCUUCUAACCCGCCGCCCUUAUCGGGCGGGGAGACAGUGUCAGGUGGGCAGUUUGACUGGGGCGGUCGCCUCCUAAAAGGUAACGGAGGCGCCCAAAGGUUCCCUCAGAAUGGUUGGAAAUCAUUCGCAGAGUGUAAAGGCACAAGGGAGCUUGACUGCGAGACCUACAAGUCGAGCAGGGACGAAAGUCGGGCUUAGUGAUCCGGUGGUUCCGCAUGGAAGGGCCAUCGCUCAACGGAUAAAAGCUACCCCGGGGAUAACAGGCUUAUCUCCCCCAAGAGUCCACAUCGACGGGGAGGUUUGGCACCUCGAUGUCGGCUCAUCGCAUCCUGGGGCUGUAGUCGGUCCCAAGGGUUGGGCUGUUCGCCCAUUAAAGCGGUACGCGAGCUGGGUUCAGAACGUCGUGAGACAGUUCGGUCCCUAUCCGUCGCGGGCGCAGGAAAUUUGAGAGGAGCUGUCCUUAGUACGAGAGGACCGGGAUGGACGCACCGCUGGUGUACCAGUUGUUCUGCCAAGGGCAUCGCUGGGUAGCUAUGUGCGGACGGGAUAAGUGCUGAAAGCAUCUAAGCAUGAAGCCCCCCUCAAGAUGAGAUUUCCCAUUCCGCAAGGAAGUAAGAUCCCUGAAAGAUGAUCAGGUUGAUAGGUCUGAGGUGGAAGUGUGGCGACACAUGGAGCUGACAGAUACUAAUCGAUCGAGGACUUAACCAAUUU